rnacentral:rRNA from 1 species
CGGUCCGGCGACCGGCGCGACGGGUGAGUAACACGUAUGACCAACCUCGCCCUCUUCAGGGGGGACAACCUUCCGAAAGGGAGGCUAAUCCCGCGUAUAUCGGUUUCGGGCAUCCGAGAUCGAGGAAAGAUUCAUCGGAAGAGGAUGGGCAUGCGGCGCAUUAGCUAGACGGCGGGGUAACGGCCCACCGUGGCGACGAUGCGUAGGGGUUCUGAGAGGAAGGUCCCCCACACUGGUACUGAGACACGGACCAGACUCCUACGGGAGGCAGCAG